rnacentral:rRNA from 1 species
UAACACAUGCAAGUCGAACGGAAACGAAACUAGCUUGCUAGUAGGCGUCGAGUGGCGGACGGGUGAGUAACGCGUAGGAAUCUGCCUGAUAGUGGGGGAUGGCCCGAAGAAAUUCGGAUUAAUACCGCAUAAUCUAUUCGUAGUAAAGUGGGGGACUUUCGAGCCUCACGCUAUCAGAUGAGCCUGCGUAAGAUUAGCUUGUUGGUAGGGUAAAAGCCUACCAAGGCAACGAUCUUUAGCUGGUCUGAGAGGAUGAUCAGCCACAUCGGGACUGAGACACGGCCCGAACUCCUACGGGAGGCAGCAGUGGGGAAUAUUGGACAAUGGGGGUAACCCUGAUCCAGCAAUACCGCGUGUGUGAAGAAGGCCUGAGGGUUGUAAAGCACUUUCAAUUGUGAAGAAAAGUUAACGGUUAAUAACCGUUGACCUUGACGUUAACUUUAGAAGAAGCACCGGCUAACUCCGUGCCAGCAGCCGCGGUAAUACGGAGGGUGCAAGCGUUAAUCGGAAUUACUGGGCGUAAAGCGUGCGUAGGCGGUUUAUUAAGUCAGAUGUGAAAGCCCCGGGCUUAACCUGGGAACUGCAUUUGAAACUGGUCAACUAGAGUAUGGUAGAGGAAAGUGGAAUUUCUGGUGUAGCGGUGAAAUGCGUAGAUAUCAGAAGGAACAUCAAUGGCGAAGGCAGCUUUCUGGACCAAUACUGACGCUGAGGUACGAAAGCGUGGGUAGCAAACAGGAUUAGAUACCCUGGUAGUCCACGCCGUAAACGAUGAUAACUAGCCGUUGGGGGGAUUUACCCCUUAGUGGCGAAGCUAACGCGUUAAGUUAUCCGCCUGGGGAGUACGGCCGCAAGGCUAAAACUCAAAGGAAUUGACGGGGACCCGCACAAGCGGUGGAGCAUGUGGUUUAAUUCGAUGCAACGCGAAGAACCUUACCUGGUCUUGACAUCCUGCGAACUUUCUAGAAAUAGAUUGGUGCCUUCGGGAACGCAGUGACAGGUGCUGCAUGGCUGUCGUCAGCUCGUGUCGUGAGAUGUUGGGUUAAGUCCCGUAACGAGCGCAACCCCUAUCCUUAUUUGCCAGCACAUUAUGGUGGGAACUAUAAGGAGACUGCCGGUGAUAAACCGGAGGAAGGCGGGGACGACGUCAAGUCAUCAUGGCCCUUACGACCAGGGCUACACACGUGCUACAAUGGGAAGGACAAAGAGCCGCGAAGCCGCGAGGUGUAGCUAAUCUCAUAAAUCUUUUCGUAGUCCGGAUUGGAGUCUGCAACUCGACUCCAUGAAGUCGGAAUCGCUAGUAAUCGUAGAUCAGAAUGCUACGGUGAAUACGUUCCCGGGUCUUGUACACACCGCCCGUCAUACCAUGGGAGUGGGUUGCACCAGAAGUGGCUAGUCUAACUUUGUGAGGACGGUCACCACGGUGUGAUUCAUGACUGGGGUA